rnacentral:tRNA from 1 species
GCCGGGGUGGCGGAAUGGCAGACGCAGGCGACUUAAAAUCGCCCGUGGCAACACGUGUGGGUUCGAGUCCCGCCCCCGGCA